GUGCUACUUCAGGAACCAAAGAGAAAAGAGCAAAUAUUUUAACAGAUGAUAUUCUUAUUGCUCCAGUCACUUAGGAAAUAACAAGGCUUACAGUAACUGAGAGCCAGGAAUCGGGAUGGACCAAAAAAUACAUGGUAGUAUCACACCCAUCAAGGCCUGCCGCCUGAUUCUUGGCUCUCUGUGUAGCAUUCCUCCCCGCUUCCACCCCACCCUGGUACGAGGCAGGACCCUUCUGAGAUGAAGGUCUUUAAGUGGGAAGGGAGAGAGGCCUACAUAGGUUUUAUGGCUUGCUUUGCGGGAGAGAAGUUCUAGUUUCUGUGACCCACCUUGAGGAAGAAGAACUCUGGCUUCUAUGACUCAUUUCAGGGCAGAAAGAGGGGCGGAGGCUGGGGGGAGGGCAGGAGAAGGUCAGAGAGACCUUGCUUGCUUCAGAGGUCCAUCCAGUCUCCUUUAGUUCAAAGUACUCAGCAUGCUAAAGCGCUGUACUUUGGAGUAUUGUGUUCUGAGCCCCAACAAGAUGAUCAGGUAUGGACUUGCUGAAGAAGUGCAUCAGAGGUGAGACCUAAAUGACAAGAAGGAGCCAGCUUUGUGAAGAUCUGGGAUGUUCUAGUCCAGUGAUUCUCAACUGGAGAUAAUUCUGCCUUCCAGGGGGCAUUUGACAAUGUCUAGUGGCAUGGUGGGUUGUCACAACCAGAAGGUGUGCUAUAGCAUCUAGUGAACAGAGGCCAGGAAUGUGCUAAACAUCCUACAAUGUACAGGACACUCCCCACAACUGCCCCGCAUACAUACACAACACAGAAUUAUCAAGGCCCAAAUGUCAAUAGUGCCGAGGCUGAGAAACUCUGUUCCAAAGAGAAUAGCUUCAAACAGAGGGAACAGCAUGAAAGUUUCAGGAAAGGAGACAAAACUGGUGGUCCGAGUGUAUUAAACAUUACCAUUAAACUGGGGGUUUUCUGGGAUGGCUCUUCUUCUGGCUGCAGCUCGGCGAGGCUUGGUUCCAGACUAUGGGUUAUGUUAAAAUCUGCUGCAAAUCUUCUCUCACUCUCCUUGGACAAGCAGCUGCGUAGAGCACACCCUUCUCCUGGUGGUGUUUCCAGAAGAACAGGGGAGAGAUAAAGUGCACCAUCCACACAUUUCAGGGUUCUUUCCAUGUCAUGACCACUAAUAUGCCACUGGCCAAAAGAAGUCUUAUGGCCAAGCCCCAAGUCCAGGUAUGAGGAAGUCUCCUCUACCAUGUAAAGCCAUGGCAGGGUUAUUCUAGAAGGUUAAGAAUCACACGGAAUGAUCCACUUUUUCUCACAGGGUGUGGCAGAGAGGGAGACAGGAAUGGAGACACAGGCACAUGCAACAUUAGAGAGGCGUGGACUAAGGAUUUUAUUGUAAAUACACCGAAAAGCCAGUGGAUGGGCUUAAUCUAAGGAGUUACACAUAGUCAAAUUACAUUUAACAAGUAUAAACAGCUGCUUUGUGAAAAAAUAGGUUGUAGCACACAAAAAGAAGGCGGGGAGACCAGUUAGGACACCAUUGCAGUAGCCCAGGUAAGAUACAAUAGUGUCAUGGACGAGGAUGUGGGCAAUGGAGGUAAACCACAGCACACAAAUUUAGGAUAUGUUUCAGAAAUAGAAUCAUUGGAGUAGAUUGAUAGAUUUGGGAUUCAAGAAAAGGAAAAACAUCAAGAAUGACUCUAAUAGCUUUGUCUUGAGCCUCUGCACUAGAUGGGAGGUGGUACCAUUUACUGAGAUGGAUGACUAGGGAAUGAACAUGUCUGGGGAAAAAUCAAUCUUUAUCUCAUUUAAUUUAACUGUGUCAAUAACCCUAUCUAGAGGUAUUUUUAUUUUCUCUUUUCCUCAAAAGAGGAAACAGGGACUUGGAAAAGUAGUGUAACUUGUCCCAGAUCCUAGUGCUGGCCAGUGGCAGAGGCAGGAUUUGAAUAUAAUUAGUCUACAUUCUAUACGGGCUACCCAACUGCAUAUGAUUGUUUUUUUACUACUUCUCUGCCCCUGUAGGAGACCCUCAUGACUUGGGGCUGCUGAAAAUCUUACCUGCUUCUGAAUGUAUGUUUUUUCUAGACCGUACACUGUAAAAUUAGUACUUUAUUUGUUCGGGCAGUAGGAAGCAGGCAUUAGACUGAAAGCAGGGAGAACUAGACUCAUGUCCCAGCUCAUCUGCUAACAAGCUUGUAUAUAAAAAAUGAAGCUUGGCUGGGCGCAGUGGCUCACGCCUAUAAUCCCAGCACUUUGGGAGGCUGAGGCGGGUGGAUCACCCAAGGUCAGGAGUUCAAGACCAGCCUGACAAACAUGGUGAAACCCCGUCUCUACUAAAAAUACAAAAAUUAGCUGGGCAUGGUGGCGAGUGCUUGCAAUUCCAGCUACUCGGGAGGCUGAGACAGGAGAAUUGCUUGAACCCAGGAGACAGAGGUUGCAGUGAGCAGAGAUCUCGCCACUGCACUCCAGCCUGGGUGACAGAGCGAGACUUCGUCACAAAAAAAAAAAAAAAAAAAAAAAAAAAGAGAAUGAAGUUUGUUUCUGAGGGCCUUGAUAACAAUGAGCAAUAAAAAUAAAGGAUGAAGCUUGUUAGAGGAAAAGUAAAGACCAGACUCCCAUGAACCUGGGUGAUCUGGCCCCUGCUUCCUCUCCAACCUUCCCUCCCUCACCAUGUUCCAGCCACCAGGGACUCCUCUCAGUUCCUGGGACAGACUGAGCUCUCGCUCACUCAGUCCUCUGUGCUGCCUCCUCCCAUGGGUUCCUCAUUCAUUCCUGUUUCAGUGUUCGCUUUUUAUUGCCUCCGUAGCACUUAGCACUUCAAGUUCUUAAAAAUGGCUUCUUUUUCCGUUUCCCUGCCAGAGGCAUGAGGGAUUUUUUUCUCUGAUCUUCACUGCGAGAAGCUGGUAGGGCUCCUGAAGGUAAACCCACAAAAGUGUGAGCAGCCCCUAAGACGAGCCCCCUCAGAAUUUUUACAUCUCAAUCCGGUCCACACUGAGCUUCCAGUAAUUUGUCAAUUACAGUUGAACACAUUCAUCCCAAUCCUGGCUCGGCCGAGACGUCUGCUCUCAGGAAACUGGGAUUCUCUGUAGCCACCCAUCUGUCUCUCCAGUUUUUUGGGGGCAGCAGCUUGCCCUGUAAGCAAAAUUCUCUGAUGGAUCUAAGAGCUGCUGAUUUCCAGUGUGUUCAGCAUUUUUCUUGUUGUGAGGAUGAUUCCAAGCUCCUUACAUUGUAGACCGAAACCAACUAUGGUUUUUAUUGUUAAGUUUUGUCUGCCUCCUCUGCUAGGCAGACUGUCUCCAAUUUCUUCACUCUGUUUCCCCACGAUGCCUGGCACAUAGAAGGGGCCCGAGACGCAGGGCUUGUGAAUUAAUGUGAGAACCUGGGUUCAUCCAGUCAUGUCAAUUUCCUUAGUUAGGCAUGAAAUGUGUAAUCUCUCAAAGAUCCUUUCUAGCACAUAAACGCUGUGAUGAUGAAGCCAGGGGAUUUCUUUGGGAGAUGUGACCUGAAGGGUAAUUCACCAGGCCAUAAAGACUAUUAAUAGAAAUGAAAAUUGCCCAAUUUGCUAGCCAAUCUCCUGAUAAGAGUUUUGUGUAUAACCAGAGGACCUCAACUAUCAAAUGACGGGAUCCCCCAGCUCCUAGGGGCUCAGAAGAACAGAAGAGACUGGAAGGCCUUUUUCAUAUUUCCAAUAACCACUUGGAAAUGUUAGAACCUGUGUCAUGUUCCUCUGAACUGUGUUUGUCCCCUUCGGGGGACCCCACAUGCUACGGACACCUGAUGAUUCGACCUGUUCACCAUCCCUUCAGCCCUGAACUGGCAACAGUAUCCUCAUUAUUCAUGAGAAAACGAUUCCUCCUCCCUUCCCAGACCAUGAGGAUUGAGUGGAAUUCACUCCAUCCUUCUCAGCUCCCUGGUGAGUAGGUGGCUGGAACUAGUCAAUGAGUAUAUUUCAACCCAGGGAUGGGAAUGUAGCCAACUCUGAACAAUGAGAGUCAGCCUCAGGAUUCUAAUGGAAGUGUCUGUAAGAAAACUCUGUCUCCACCAGACCAGAAACUGGCAGGGUACAAGCCUACAACUGUUGGCAGCCACCUUACCACCACCCAGGGAGUCUGUGGCUGGGCUCCCUAAGAAGAAGACUCUGAGGCAAGGAUUUCUGUGCAAGAGGUUUAUUUUGGAGACUCCCAGGAAGCAUGGGAAGGAGAAUAGGAAAGUGAGACAGGAAAGAGAAGGGGGCUAAAUCAGAGUGCAUUGGAGAGCAGGCUGCCACAGCGGGCAACUGAGGCUUAGCACUGUUGGAAACAUCUGGAGAAAAUAUAGAACAUGUCCAGGAGUCCUCCCAACCAAAGACCGUAGUAAUUCAUUGUUGAAUCUACUAAAUCGAUCUGUCUUUGGCUGAAGGCUGCUACCAGGGCUGUUAACUCCCUGGUUCUUCUGCCUGCCCACAACAGACUGAACCAGCCCCUGUGGGAAGAGAAAGCCCCCAGGCUGAGAAUCAACUGAGCUGCAUUGAGGAGCCCCAGGUGUGUGUCCAGGAAUGCCAAGUGCAGAAGGGCUAUGCACGGGGCACCAUCAUGACCUGCUGCAGAGACCGUCCCUGAGAACAGAGGAGCAGAGAGAGAGAAGAGCAAGAGAUGGGCAAGGACAGAGUCACAAUCCCAGUGUCUGGCCCCUGCCUCCGGCCUUGUCUCAGCUAGCUCUGUCACUGGACUUUCAUUUGUCUGGGACCAAUAUCUCUCUUCCUUCCUAAAGAUGACUGCAGACUGGUUUCUGCCCUGUGUAAUGAAAAGAUCAUGAUGUGCACAGCUUUUUACCCCAUCUUAAGAAUAUUUGAGCACUUAUCUCCAUAGAGGGCAGAAUCUGUAAUGAAUUUACUUUUCAGUCCUCCAUAACACCUGUCGCAAGGUUUGUACAGUUUUCAAGAAAUACUGGGUAGAUGAAUGAAUGGAUACUGAAAAGACCCACUAAAAUUUAAUGCAAAUCUGUAACAACAGAUGCCCAUUUAAGGCACAUGGCAGAGGGCAAGGUGGCAUAGGGAGAAAGCAGUUGGAGCAGAUUCAUCCUGGCAGUGGCACCCUGUGAGGAGGGGUACUGGCAGGUCCCACUGGGGCUCCCAAGUGAAAAAGUGCCAGUGUUAGUUCCUGCUACCAAGAAACCUAGAGCUUCUCUGGUUCUAGUUUUUUCCAAAGGCUCAUUUUCCAGCUUUUCCUUCCAUUCUGAGAGCUAUACCAUAGCUUCCAUUAAUUCUUUAUUGUUUGUUAAUUUGGCCUAAUACUGUGACUCAGUCUCUGUCACUUGCCACCCUAGAACCCUAGCCAGCACAGAAAUGACGGAGUGAAACCACCUCCACACAAACCAGUGCUGCUUCCUCUCUUCACAGUUGCAGAUUCUGUCUCUAGUGGCAGCAUUAAGGGAGAUUGUGUCAUCAAGCCUGCUUUGCUCUAAGAUGCUGACUUUAACAGAUUAGAAAUGUUCCCGGCACAGCCCACGCUUCUGCUAAUAAAUGAUUCCAUAUCUAUCAUGAAUGAAUUUCAAGUCUUCCAUUACUGGGCUGUGUACCUACUCACGAAGUACAUUUCCAGGCGAUUUUGUCUGAAUUACAUGGUUAAUUGCCUCAUAUUUUCAGCUCA
rnacentral:lncRNA from 1 species